GCCGUGGCCGCCGAGGUGCUUGAGAGCGCGGCGCAGCACCUGGAUCUGCUCCGCCAUCUUGGGGCGGGGCCGGCACAGAGCCGCCCUCAGCACCGCCCUCAGCGCCGCCGUCAGCUGGAGAGUCGCGAAGCUGCGCAGGUCACAAGAUCUGUGAUGAGAAUAGUUACUUAAAUGGGCAGUGAGGAGUUCGGGAAUGCCUAGAUCAACAACAACUCAUCCACUUCUCCACCCCAUCACCUCCAUCUUGUCCCACUGCCCUCUCCUGGUUCUGCAUCAGCAGGAAGAAAUAUUUUUAAUCACCUUGCUGUAGCCAUUGGAAGUUCUUCACUGAUGUUGCUGCGAGGCUAGUCGAGCAUGGUGCAGAAAAUACUUCACUGACCUUUACAAGGCUAGGACUACACAGACCAGCCACAAAUAGAUCUUCGGCACCUUGUCAGAGCAGGCAGGACUUGGAAAAGUCCCCAGUAAACAUAUCAUCAGUGCCACAACUGGCAUUAGCCAAUCAGCGGAACCCAACUGUCAGCACGGGGAGACUGAGUUUUGAUGUCGGCACCACAGGAACCGGGGAUUUGGCAAGUGACAAAACAGGACAAAUUAAGUAUGGAGCGUUAAACCUGAAAGGAAAAUGAGACUGGGGAAAAAAAGCCUGUCAGCCAAGUUCUCAUACAAUCCCCAUUUCAGCAUGAAGUCUAAUGGUUUAAGCUUCCCGUUCAGAAAUUUUUGAUUUGAACCCAAAGUGAUUUUGUGUACAAACAUGAAAUACAAGCCAUGCUGAUUCCGUGCUCUGUCCUGUAACCCCAGCAUCUGUUUCAUGCAAGACAGCUCCAGCUGUAACACCUCCACCGCAACUGCUGUGCUAGCAAACCAGAAAGGCUGAUGAAAAGGAACAGGCUGAUUUAAUCGACACUGAAGAUCACAAAAAGAAUAACGGUAUGGACAGGUAAGUUUGUAACCGCAGAAGGUGUUGCAAUGAAUGCACUUUUGAAAAAGAAGUUUUAAAUGUAAUAAUUCUUUGCACCAGGAACUUGACCAGAACGAGACAAGCAACCUAACUCCACAUACAUCUAUACAAAAUAUAUUUUCAUGAGAACUGUUUGAGCUAGUAAGCUUAUUCUGUGUAACAUUGCUCCCAUUUUUAAAUGACAAGAUUCUAAAAUGUAUAACAUUCUUUUUCCUUUCAUGUGAUUUAUAUUAAAAUUAUUUUCCUUCCUUUUAACACUGAAAACAUUAAAGCUGUUGACACUAAAUUUGUCCUUUCACUGGCAAAAAGACUUCUUACUUUUUGGCUAAUAAAAGCCACAGUUUGGUGAAAUCCUGAUCAGGUGUGAAACUCAGACUGCUGAAGAUCAAAAAGCUGAAAUUAUAGGUGAAAUUAAAGGUGAAAGGAAGAAGUCACAAAAAUAAUGAUAUAUUUUAACAUCCAUGGUGGUGUGAGCUUCAAUGUUCACACUUUUGUCAGAUGGUUAACAAUGUUACCGAACAGUGCAAGAGAAACCAGGAAUAUUAACCAGCCUUUCAUUCAGUAGCAAAGAGCAUUUAUUCACAAGACUAAAAAUGACAAUAAAUCACACAGAGGGUGAUGUGAGAUCACAUCAUAAUGAAAAAUAACUGUUAGAAACACUAAGGGCCUGAGUUGAAAGUAACUUAAUGUGCUCCAUUUAACCGAGCCGCAGUUAACUUAAAAACAAAAUCAGAACUUCACUAUUUCCCUGGAAGUGUUCAAGGCCAGGUUGGAUGGGGCCUGGGGGGGCCUGAUCUAGUGGGAGGUGUCCCUAUCCAUGGCAAGGGGGUUGGAACUGGAUGGGCUUUAGGGUCCUUUCCAACCCAAACCAUUCUAUGAUUCUAUGAUUCUACUUAGCCUUUCCACGCUGCAUUAUUCUUAAAGUUAACUGCAGUGGUUAACAGGCAGAAAUAAGACAAAAACAUGUUCAUCUCUGUAAUUAGUUGUUUUAAAGCUCCCGUUCCUGAGAAAACCCAGGAAAAUAAAAUGAUUUUUAAUGAUUAAUGAAAAAUCUUGAUGAGCAAAGUGAGUAACACUGAAGCAACAGCCUGCACCAUAGGAUCCAGCUUCCAGAUCACCAUGCAGACAAGAGAGAUGACUUGCCAGGCAGCACAGACCAGCUGCACCCUAUCUUUAAACUGAACUUACAAUGAAACAUUUUUACUAUCAAUGCAAGAAGUAUUUACUACUGCAAAAGUGGAAAAUUCUGGUUUAAGCUAAAGUAGAAUUGGUUUUCCAGCUUUAGUUAAGUCUCCUUUAAGUAACUGUAGUUUUUGAACAUUACAGACAGAAUGUCUCUCUGAUAGCGUUUUUUUUCUCCAAUAGUGCUUCUCCAGACACUGUUCUCUUGAGAAAUGAUAACAUCUUGUGUUCAGUAUGAUCUGUGCUCAACAGAUGUGUCUUCUUCUGUAAUCAUCUGUCUGUCUUUCUCUAUCUGAAGAAUCCAAGGUCAGACAGAGAACUGGUCCUGUCUCAAUCGGUGGAUAUUUGGCUGUUGUGAAGUUCCUAAUAACAAUAAAAUCAGUCCUUGGAAAGUAAUAAAAUAUGCAUGAAAAUCUGGGACAAGUUAUGCAUAUGCAUACAGAUGGGAAAUAUCUUUUGUACCCAGCUCUUGUCUUGUUACGCAUGACUAGCAGAAUUAUCUCCAUGCAUCUGGCGCUGUAAUAAGGGGUGCUUGAUUUCUAAAACUCCAAACAAGUCUUAGAGAGUUUAUUUGCCAUAAUUUCCAGUAUCACUAUGAAAAAAUACAAGAAAACUUUGGGGGAAAGAAGGUUACUUACCAGUAGCCAGAGCUCUCUGCAAACUUUUGUGUGUAUGCACGUUUGCUCUAUAGAGGUAAACAUCAGAGGUAUUCAAGAUUACUACAUGGGUCCUUCAGUACUGUGGGUGUGUACUCAUCUCUUCCCCUUUUCCUUGACUUGACAUCAAGCACAGAAUCACGAUAUUCUGUCAGCCACAUGUAGCAAGGGAGAAUGGUAUAUGUUCGUCACACAGAUGGGCAACAUACAAGUAUCAAGAAUCUCUUUGAGAUAAGCAACUUUUUUCAUGAGUAUAUCCCUGUACAUGGUCACACCAUGGAUAACCUAAGUGUCCCAGUAUUCCCUGAAAAAGGUGGUUGGCAGAGACUACUUGGUUCUUUGGUUGAAGAUUUCUUGAACUAGCUGUCCGUUUUGCAAGGAUAUGGAACAGAGAUGUUAUUAAACAAAGCCUCAAAUGUAGUCUAAGGACUACUGGAAUAUAUCCUGAUUACUGAUGGCGACUCAAACGUACUGUUUUCAAGAGAGGUAAUGCAGUCCAUUACCUAGUCUGGAGAUGGUUAUCUUGUUUGAUUUCUUGCCUGGUCAAGAGAACUAGAUUAAAGAUAAUCUGAAAGAUGCUGUCCUAGUCCUAUGCAAAUAAGACAACAUUCGCUUGCUACCCGACAUCUGAAUGGGAAUCUCAGACCUGAAAAUACAGUUUAAAAGGAAAAAGCAUGGGUGGGUGUUUCCUUAGUUGGUAAACUGGCAGAAAAAGCCUUAUGAGAGGUGACUGAGGGAACUGGGGUUGUUUAGCCUGGUGAAAAGGAGGGUGAGGGGAGACCUUAUCGCUGUCUACAAUUAUCUGAAAGGUGGUUGUAGUGCGGUGGGUACAGGUGAUUGGACAAGAGGAAACAUUUCAGAGUAGACAUCAGGGAAAAUUUCUUCACCAAAGUGGUUCUCAGGCACUGGCAGAGGCCGCCCACGGAGGUGGUUGAGUCACUAUCCCUGGAGGUAUUUAAAAGAUGGGUAGAGGAGGUGCUCAGGGAUGUGGUUUACUAGUAGACAAGUAUACCUGCUGGACUCGAUGAUCUCAAAGGUCUCUUCCAACCAAGCAACACUAUGAUUCUAUGAAACUCCACAUGAAGUGCAAGGGAUUUGCCAGGGAAAGACAGUAAAAGGUAUGGGACAGAAAAAGUCAGCCAUGGGGAUUUGGAUUUUCUGCUGUCCAGCUGAGGUGAUGGGUGUCAAAAAGAACAGCAAGGAUGUGUUUCAAACACCUGAGUUUAAACAGCCUGAUGUGAAACACGACAACAGUUCUUAUGCUUCUGAGUUAACACACCCUAAGAAAGUAGUCUUGACCCAGCAGUCAGUGGCAAUGGCAGUUCAGACAUCACUGAAGCAGGCUGACUUGUAUUCACAGAGCCUAGGGCACAUAGAGGAAGCGAGAAAAGAAAUCCAGUGAAAAUAAGGUGCUCAGGCCACCUCCUCCAAAACAAGAAAAAAAGCAGCACACCAGCCACAGAAAGGCCGCUAAAUACCCAGCUCAAGUAGCUACAACAAUGUGCAUGUCGACUCACCAGUAAUGGAGGAAAGGGCUGGUCUGGGGCCUCUUGCAAGGGCUCAACCCACGUAACUCCAUGUGCCCAGAGGAAGUCCACUCUAGUGUACUAAGAGAAGUAGCUGACAUUUGUGCAAGGCCACUGUCAAGGAUCUUUAAGAAGUCUUGGAGGUCUUAAAAUAAGGAAGAAACUUUUAAUGCUGAUACCAAUCAAUCACUACAACGACCUCCCCAGGGAUGGGGCAGAGUCCCCAUCACUGAAGGGUUUCAAGGUGCAAUUGGACAGGGUGCUGGAUAAUCUUAUCUAGGUUCCCUUUCCCACAAAGGGUUGGACUGGAUGAUGUCUCAAGUUCCCUUCAAACCUGGGCUGUUCUAGGAUAAACAUGGAUGAGCUGAGGGAUUUGAUCGCUAGAGAUUUACAUCUGUAGAAACACUGGUACUUUUUUUAAGCUGAGCAGUACCAUGUGAGAGGCUGCAUCAGCUGAAUCUUGUGGCCAGCUGUAAGCAAAGAACUGCAAAUCACACCUGAGACUUAAGCUAUGGAGUAAAAGAUUUCUGCAAGGAUGUGAGAGAAAUUUGCACAAUGUACUGCAUGUUCAAGCAGCUCAGUAAAGAGAAUGGAAAAGAACACAGAAAUUCUGUGUUAGAGACAGUUCCCUGAUUCUUUUUGGCUGGCUGAGAUCCUCAGGAGCUGAGAAAAUCUAAGGAACUCACCCAAGCCUCACCUCAUAGUCUCUUGGUGUUAGGGUGGCCUUGGAGCUGCUAGUGUGGAGUCGCAAAGGCCCCCAUUUAAGUUCAUCUUUAGGCUAAGCAACUUCUGGCACAACCACAUGUUUCUUGAUUGGCUCUUCCUUGAUUGUUCCACAUCUUUCUUGAUUGUUUCUUGAUGAGGCUCUUCCUCAUCCAAUGUUGCCAGAGAAAGAGAAGGUUCAGAAUAAACAGAACUCAGCCUUGAUAAAGAUUUAGAUAAUCCUAAAUGCUAUUGUCAGAGGUAGACCACUGCUUUUACUAGGAUACUUGUCUCCAGUUAAAGCAACGGAUAUUAAAUGUGCUAGGGAUGCAUCACUUCCUGUUGCAAAAGGAAGCAAGAAGCAAUCGUAUGUCAGUGUUACUUGUCAGCCAGGCACAUGCCUCAAGAUAGAAAAGCAUGUAAACCCAUCCUUAGACGGGCUAUGGAGUAUGAUUGAGGCAACAUAUAUGAAGUACACAAACCCACCUCUAAUAAGGAAAGGAAAAGCAGCAGAAACUGUGCUCCCACAGGGAGGGGCACUCAAUUUGACAAACUCAAAUUUAAAAAACAAUCAUAUGAGAUUGGUUGGAAAAGAGAACUACAUAGCCAAACGCUAACAAUAAUAAAGAAAAAAAAGACAGGAACACAAGAGGCAUCUAGAAUGCCUCCAUCAUUGUGCACUAAGUAAGAGGGAGGAGCAGUGUGAAAAAAGCUUUAACUUCUGAGACUUGAAAAAACAGAAGAGUGCUGUCUUUGAAUGCCUGCAGCAUACACUACUCUGUUCAUUUUUCAAAGUAUAAAGCAGCUCAGGUCUACCAGGACAUAAUACUGCAACACAGUAUUCCUUUCCACCCACAAAACUGUCAGAACGUACCCUUUGCUGCUGCACUUUUUAUCAUCUGCAUCAACAUAUCACCAGCACAUGUUAAAAUGUGAACUUCCUCUGCUUUCCCUGCCCUUGUAACAGUGUCCAGUGUUUAAUUCAACAAGAAACAAACCUCUUUUCAAAAACAACAGGAAGAA